AACUUAUCCGGAGUAUCAAAAUAACUCCUCAUAAAACAAAGCAUUGCAGGAGAAGUUAGGGUUUUCUGCAAAUUCGAACAUUUCCCCGCUUUCGCUGAAGAAUACUUCAUCUCGUCUCUCUUCGAAAAUUGCUACAUUUCCUGAGAUUCUUGUUCAGAGGGUGCUUACUAGAGUAUAUAUGCUUCAUCUUAAUGAUCUUUAAUGUUGUAAGAGCAGGGAGAUUCUUCUGCCGAUUCCAGCAAGUUGUUGGUUCUCAAAUCGAAGUCCUUCCAGGAUUUUGCUUCCCGAAAUCGGCAUCACAUCUGAGGACUCUUGUACAAAGACAUGAGGCUAGAAGGAAUGUAGCUUCUGCUCAUAGCAUAAUAUUUGAUAUCGGUUGCUCUAAAGCCUUCAAGAAAAUCAACAUGUCUAGUUCUUUAGAACUUCUCAAAGGCAGCCAGGGAUUUCAUUCAGAUGUUAAAUCCUCUAUUAUAACAGAUGCAGUAGCCAAUGUUGGUGGCUUGCCUUCUGUGAAAUUAGAUGAAAAAUCUCAGGAUUCUCUGUCAGCCAGACAGGAUCACACAUGUUCCUUGAGUGUGCAGUCCACUCCAGACAUUGAACGUAAAUAUGUCCAUCGUGUCUAUGAUGCUAUUGCUCCCCAUUUCAGCUCCACCCGCUUUGCCAAGUGGCCUAAGGUCGCCAGCUUUUUGAAUUCCUUGGUGCCGGGUUCUGUCAUCUUAGAUGCAGGCUGUGGUAAUGGAAAGUACUUGGGCUUAAAUCCUUAUUGCUUUUACAUUGGCUGCGAUAUAAGCACUCCGUUGAUCAACAUAUGUGCGGAAAGAGGACACGAAGUUAUUGUUGCAGAUGCUGUCAAUCUUCCUUAUAGAACUGGCUUCGGCGAUGCAGCUAUUUCUAUUGCUGUCUUGCAUCAUCUGAGCACCGAAAGUAGGAGGAGAAAAGCUAUAGAGGAAUUGAUCCGGGUUGUACGGCCGGGUGGUUUGGUUUUAAUAACAGUAUGGGCUGUAGAACAAGAAGAUAGGUCGUUGCUUGCAAAGUGGACCCCACUUUUGAACAAGUAUGAUGAAGAGUGGAUAGGAUCAGGCAGUCUUCGUGUGCGUAGUAGCCCAUUAACUGCCACUUUGUCAACCAUCCCGGAAACUGAGGAAAACAGUCACCUUGAGGUGGAUGAAUUAAGACGAGCAUGCAAUCAGAACAUGUUGAAAGAUUUGGCACAACAGUCCAAGGAGGAAACAGGUGUUGGUGUUGUAUCUUCUCGAACGGAAGAUGGUUCUAUAGCUUCUAGAGACAGUGAUAUCAAAAGCCACCAGGAAUAUUUUGUUCCUUGGCACUUACCCUAUCAUCGAGCUGAGAUCAGCGGUGCAUCUGCUUCCGCUCUUGCUAAUGGUCUGGCCAAGAAAGAUGAUAAAAAGGGUGCAGUUGUCUACAAUCGGUAUUACCAUGUAUUCAUCAAAGGCGAGCUUGAAAGGUUGGUUUCUGGUAUUCAGAAUGCAGUCAUCUCUGACCAGUUCUAUGACAAAUCCAAUUGGUGUAUAAUUCUCGAGAAGACAUAAACGCUAGUGCUGGGUUAUUGGCCUGGAUUUACCUAAUACAUGAAUGGAAAUUGCUGAAAUGCUCUAAAUCUUCUGAGAAGCAUUUCCAAGACAGGAUGAAUGGAGUUUUUGAACCUUGGAUUGUGCCUGGAUUGGAUGAAUCUGCAUCUUGAUUCAACAUCCCGCUUGCAGAAUGCGCAUGUAGUGGUUAGGAGCAGAGUGACAAAUGUAGCUGGUAUUUUGAAAAUAUAUAAUUAUAUGCAACUAGUACUUGAGGAAGAAAAAAAUUACAAAUGACAUCAAACCGACAAUAUCCCCAUGUUCCCAAAAACCAAAAACCCAUAUAAGCCUGUAUCUAUAAAAUAUUUGACCCUUUUAAAAUAUGACUCUUUUCCUUUGAACAUGGAUGGUCUCCAAUUCUUUGAAUGAUCGAAGGCUUAAAACAUUUUGACCUGGGA